GCCUCAAACCCAGCCCUAAACUACACCCCAUGCAACACCUAUACCCCUGUUUCCCCCACAAAACAUUACAACCUUCUAGUAAAGGCGAUUAAAAAAUAUAUUUAGGCGCUCAAGACUCAGUACCGCAAGGGAAUGAUGAAAUAUUAAUGAAAAUAUUUAAAGCCUAUAAAAGUAGAGACUACAACUCGUACCUUUCGCAUCAUGGUUAGACUAGUCUUAAUCAAGCAAAACAACUUUUAGUUUGACCCCCCGAAACUAAGUGAGCUACUUCAAAACAGCCUCAAGGGCCAACCCAUCUCUGUCGCAAAAGAGUGGGAAGAUUUUCAAGUAGAGGUGACAAGCCUACCGAACUUAGUGAUAGCUGGUUAUUCGAGAAAAGAAUUUUAGUUCCCCCUCAAACCACCCCAUUAUACCAAACAACAAACUUGGUUUGAGAAUUAUUCAAACAGGGCACAGCCUGCUUGAAAAAGGAUACAACCUAAAAUAUAGGGUAAACCACCACUGUACUUAAUUAAGUUGGCCUGAAAGCAGCCAUCUUCCAAAAAGCGUCAAAGCUUAAUUUAUUCUGCUACUUUAAUUCCACAACCUACGCUAAACCCAUAAUUUUUAUCGAAUGACUCCAUACCCCCUAUGGAAGACACUAUGUUUAAACUAGUAAUAAGAAAUUGAACUUCUCCAAAGUGUAAGUAUAAACCAGCAUUGAAUAACUACUGGUAAUUAACGCAUAUGAACCCAUUAUAGCAACAUCACAAGAAAACCCUAUCUUCACAACCGUUAACCUAACACCAGAACACUAAUGGAAAGAUUUAAAGGAAAAGAAGGAACUCGGCAAAUCUUAGUCCCGCCUGUUUACCAAAAACAUCGCCUCUUGCACCCCAUAAGAGGUCCAGCCUGCCCAGUGACAAAGUUUAACGGCCGCGGUACCCUGACCGUGCGAAGGUAGCAUAAUCACUUGUUCUUUAAAUAGGGACUAGUAUCAACGGCAUCACGAGGGCUAUACUGUCUCCUUUCCCUAAUCUAUGAAACUAAUCUCCCCGUGAAGAAGCGGGGAUAGUACUAUAAGACGAGAAGACCCCAUGGAGCUUUAAAUUCAAUAGACAAUCUUAUCUGUAUUAAUCCCAAUAACUCAAGAAUUAUGUCUAUUAAUUUUAGGUUGGGGUGACCGCGGAGUAUAAUAAAACCUCCACAACGAACAAGACACUAACCUUUAUCUAAGAGCUACACCUCCAAGAAUCAAUAAAUUGACGUUAAAUGAUCCGACAUUCGACCAAUGAAACAAGUUACCCUGGGGAUAACAGCGCAAUCUACUUUUAGAGCCCAUAUCAACAAGUAGGCUUACGACCUCGAUGUUGGAUCAGGAUGUCCAGGUGGUGCA
rnacentral:rRNA from 1 species